GGAGGAGGUGGGAAAAGUGAAAGCAAUAGCACAGAAUUCUGCUGAGCUCACACUUGAUCAGCUUCAAAGGAGGAAGAAAUGGUUUGGGGACAAUCAAAACCAGAUCCUCCGAAAGACUUCGAGCAACCUUGGAGAAACCCAGACUGGAACCCGAGCAAUCUGAAAUCUGAGUUAAGUGAACUUCUUACAUUUAUGGAAAACCACCAAGACAUCAGGCAGUUCAGAAUACUGCUUCAUGGACCAGUUGGAGCUGGGAAGUCCUGCUUUAUAAACUCAGUGAAGAGCGUAUACAAGGAAAGAAUUGUAGUCAGGGCAGCUGAGGAGACGUCUGCUGGAAAGAG